GUGAAUCAUCGAAUCUUUGAACGCACCUUGCGCUCCUCGGUAUUCCGAGGAGCAUGCCUGUUCGAGUGUCAUCGAAAUCUCGAAUCGAAGCUUGGACCUGGUCCGAGCUUCGUUCGGACAGUGGGAGUCUGCGGGCGAGCCUCGCUACGUCCGCUCUCCUCAAAAGCAUUAGCCGUGGACGCCAGCCUUGCAUGGCACGGCCUCUUCGACGUCGUAAUGAUCGUCGCGGGCUGGAAGUGCGAGGCGUGGACCGACCACGCUUCCCUAGACUUGCGAGCCCGUUCUCCUCGGGGAACGGCCGCGCCCCCAUCGAUGCUUGACCUCGAAUCAGGUAGGACUACCCGCCGAACUUAAGCAUAUCAAUAAGCGGAGGA
rnacentral:rRNA from 1 species